rnacentral:ncRNA from 1 species
GCUAACGGCAGUUGCGCCAUGAAAAUGGCAAGACGGGUCGGGGCUGGCAUAGAAAGGCCGGUAGGCAGUGCAGCGGAAGGUAAGAAAACCGCCAAGCGAAAUUAAGUCGGGAAAACUGAAUGAUACG